rnacentral:rRNA from 1 species
AUUGAACGCUGGCGGCAUGCCUUACACAUGCAAGUCGAACGGCAGCACGGAGCUUGCUCUGGUGGCGAGUGGCGAACGGGUGAGUAAUAUAUCGGAACAUACCCAAGAGUGGGGGAUAACGUAGCGAAAGUUACGCUAAUACCGCAUACGAUCUAAGGAUGAAAGUGGGGGCUCGCAAGACCUCAUGCUCCUGGAGCGGCCGAUAUCUGAUUAGCUAGUUGGUGAGGUAAAGGCUCACCAAGGCAUCGAUCAGUAGCUGGUCUGAGAGGACGACCAGCCACACUGGAACUGAGACACGGUCCAGACUCCUACGGGAGGCAGCAGUGGGGAAUUUUGGACAAUGGGGGCAACCCUGAUCCAGCAAUGCCGCGUGAGUGAAGAAGGCCUUCGGGUUGUAAAGCUCUUUUGUCAGGGAAGAAACGGUGAAGGCUAAUAUCCUUUGCUAAUGACGGUACCUGAAGAAUAAGCACCGGCUAACUACGUGCCAGCCGCCGCCGUAAGAC